UACGAAGGGGGCUAGCGUUGUUCGGAAUUAUUGGGCGUAAAGGGCGCGUAGGCGGCUGAUUAAGUCAAAGGUGAAAUCCCUCGGCUCAACUGAGGAACUGCCUUUGAAACUGAUCAGCUUGAGGCCGGGAGGGGGUAGCGGAAUUCCCAGUGUAGCGGUGAAAUGCGUAGAUACUGGGAGGAACACCGGUGGCGAAGGCGGCUACCUGGACCGGUUCUGACGCUGAGGUGCGAAAGCGUGGGGAGCAAACAGG
rnacentral:rRNA from 1 species